rnacentral:pre_miRNA from 1 species
UGUAAACAUCCUUGACUGGAAGCUGGAAGGUGCCGAAGGAGCUUUCAGUCGGAUGUUUACA